rnacentral:rRNA from 1 species
UCCCUGCGGGGGAAAGAUUUAUCGCUAUUAGAUGAGCCUAUGUUAGAUUAGCUAGUUGGUAGGGUAAAGGCCUACCAAGGCGAUGAUCUAUAGCUGGUCUGAGAGGAUGAUCAGCCACACUGGAACUGAGAUACGGUCCAGACUCCUACGGGAGGCAGCAGUGGGGAAUAUUGGACAAUGGGCGCAAGCCUGAUCCAGCUAUGCCGCGUGAGUGAGGAAGGCCUUAGGGUUGUAAAACUCUUUCAGUAGGGAAA